rnacentral:sRNA from 1 species
GAUGUAUUCGUUCAUUUCUCUGCUAUCCAAGGCGAAGGUUUCAAAACUUUAGAAGAAGGUCAAGAAGUUACAUU